rnacentral:rRNA from 1 species
UACGGAGGGUGCAAGCGUUAUCCGGAUUUACUGGGUUUAAAGGGUGCGUAGGUGGGUCUGUAAGUCAGUGGUGAAAUCUCCGGGCUUAACCCGGAAAUUGCCAUUGAUACUAUAGGUCUUGAAUCAUCUGGAGGUAAGCGGAAUAUGUCAUGUAGCGGUGAAAUGCUUAGAUAUGACAUAGAACACCGAUAGCGAAGGCAGCUUACUACAUGUUCAUUGACGCUGAGGCACGAAAGCGUGGGGAGCAAACAGG